CUCUGGUUUGUUUUAUUUAAACAGUUAUUUGAAUGUAAUUGCCCUGAAACCAUAUGCAGCGUUAAAACGAUUCCAGAUAACAUCCUUUCUCCUGAUUCCAAGAUGAGAAAAAAAACUCCUGCAGCCCCCUCCGAGGUCUGUGCAUCAGCCAGUAGAGGGUGCAGGAAUUGUGGCUGCAUUCCCCACACGCCUGAGCCGGCUGCUGCUGCUGCUCCAGCUUCUUUCUAAGCUGUUCUCAGUGUUUACAGUGAUGCUGGACUCGUGCUGCACACGUGAAAUUCAGACUGCAAGCUCACAUUGCAAACCUUAGAGAUGUCUGGGUGAUAUUUUUCUCAUCACAGGAUUAAAAAAAAGGGUCAUCUCCUAUCAAUAAAAAGUUUAAUUUCUA